GACGAACGCUGGCGGCAGGCCUAACACAUGCAAGUCGAACGCCCUGGCAACAGGGAGUGGCAGACGGGUGAGUAACGCGUGGGAACGUGCCCUUCGGUUCGGAAUAACUCAGGGAAACUUGAGCUAAUACCGGAUACGUGCGAGAGCAGAAAGAUUUAUCGCCGAAGGAUCGGCCCGCGUCCGAUUAGCUAGUUGGUGAGGUGACGGCUCACCAAGGCGACGAUCGGUAGCUGGUCUGAGAGGAUGAUCAGCCACACUGGGACUGAGACACGGCCCAGACUCCUACGGGAGGCAGCAGUGGGGAAUAUUGGACAAUGGGCGCAAGCCUGAUCCAGCCAUGCCGCGUGAGUGAUGAAGGCCCUAGGGUUGUAAAGCUCUUUCGCCAGGGACGAUAGUGACGGUACCUGGAUAAGAAGCCCCGGCUAACUUCGUGCCAGCAGCCGCCGCGG
rnacentral:rRNA from 1 species